rnacentral:rRNA from 1 species
CCCUUAGAUGUUCUGGGCCGCACGCGCGUUACACUGAUGCAUUCAACGAGUCCUUCCUUGGCCGAGAGGCCUGGGCAAUCUUUUGAACGUGCAUCGUGAUAGGGAUAGAUUAUUGCAAUUAUUAAUCUUGAACGAGGAAUUCCUAGUAAACGCAGUUCAUCAAACUGCAUUGAUUACGUCCCUGCCCCUUGUACACACCGCCCGUCGCACCUACCGAUUGAAUGGUCCGGUGAAGCCUCGGGAUUGUGGCUGGUCUCCUUUAUUGGGGGUCGGUCGCGAGAACUUGUCUAAACCUUAUCAUUUAGAGGAAGGUGAAGUCGUAACA